GCCCUUCUGGUGCUUACCACAGGCGGUGUUCUUACACUGAGUUUAUAGAAAGAGAAGGUAGAAUAAAUGUACCCCAUAUACGCUUCAGCCCAGGAUCUGUGCCUGGUCUGUAUUGUGAAUGGGGAAACAUAG
rnacentral:snoRNA from 1 species